CUCCUGACCUCAAGUGAUCUGCCAACCUCAGCCUCCCAAAGUGCUGGAAUUACAGGCAUGAGCCAUCGCUCCUGGAAAGGAGACCCUUCUUAACAAAAUGCUAAAUGAGUUUCUCUGUGUCUCUCCCAAUGUCAGUUUUUGCCAACAAAUCUUGUCAAAUCUUCUUGAGCAAAAAAAACACAAAGUAUUUAGCCAGGGAAAACCUUACUUUUAAUAUCCUUGCCUCCUAGGGUAAGAUAUUUCUGAAGGAAAUCAGAAACGCCCCAAAUCAAGACUUGAUUCUUAUUACUCAUAAGAGAGGACUGAAGCUUUAACAAUUAAUCUGCUUAGAACUGCAAUGUAAACUGCACGCAGCUAUUACCUGAUUUUUAUUUCUACUACUUUUCUUCCAUCACAAGCCCUAUGCAGAAAAAAAAGUGGACGCCAGGAAGAAGCGGUCCAUGAUAUUCCCCAACUUUGGAAUUUUCUGUCAAGGUGAAUUGUGUUGGCCUCCGCAUUUCUCUCUCAUACACAGAGCUCUAUUUCAUGCCAACAAAGGAAA